UACAGAGGGGGCAAGCGUUGUUCGGAAUUACUGGGCGUAAAGGGCGCGUAGGCGGCCUUCUAAGUCGAACGUGAAAUCCCCGGGCUCAACCCGGGAACUGCGUCCGAUACUGGAAGGCUUGAAUCCGGGAGAGGGAUGCGGAAUUCCAGGUGUAGCGGUGAAAUGCGCAGAUAUCAGGAGGAACACCAGUGGCGAAGGCGGCGACCUGGACGGACACUGACGCUGAGACGCGAAAGCGUGGGGAGCAAACAGG
rnacentral:rRNA from 1 species